GAUGAACGCUAGCGGCGUGCCUAACACAUGCAAGUCGAACGGGGUACCCGAAACGGAGACUUCGGUUGAAGUUUUGGACUACCUAGUGGCGGACGGGUGAGUAACGCGUGAGCAAUCUGCCUCACAGAGGGGGAUAACACAGAGAAAUUUGUGCUAAUACCGCAUAAUGUAGUGAAGAGACAUCUCUUUGCUACCAAAGAUUUAUCGCUGUGAGAUGAGCUCGCGUCUGAUUAGCUAGUUGGUGGGGUAACGGCCUACCAAGGCGACGAUCAGUAGCCGGACUGAGAGGUUGAACGGCCACAUUGGGACUGAGACACGGCCCAGACUCCUACGGGAGGCAGCAGUGGGGAAUAUUGCGCAAUGGGGGAAACCCUGACGCAGCAACGCCGCGUGAAGGAAGAAGGCCUUCGGGUUGUAAACUUUUGUCUUUAGGGAAGAUAGUGACGGUACCUAAGGAGGAAGCCACGGCUAACUACGUGCCAGCAGCCGCCGCGGUAA
rnacentral:rRNA from 1 species